AGCGAACGCUGGCGGCAGGCUUAACACAUGCAAGUCGAGCGGGCAUCUUCGGAUGUCAGCGGCAGACGGGUGCGUAACACGUGGGAACGUACCCUUCGGUUCGGAACAACUCUGGGAAACUGGAGCUAAUACCGGAUACGCCCUUAUGGGGAAAGGUUUACUGCCGAAGGAUCGGCCCGCGUCUGAUUAGCUAGUUGGUGGGGUAACGGCCUACCAAGGCGACGAUCAGUAGCUGGUCUGAGAGGAUGAUCAGCCACACUGGGACUGAGACACGGCCCAGACUCCUACGGGAAGCAGCAGUGGGGAAUAUUGGACAAUGGGCGCAAGCCUGAUCCAGCCAUGCCGCGUGAGUGAUGAAGGCCUUAGGGUUGUAAAGCUCUUUUGUCCGGGACGAUAAUGACGGUACCGGAAGAAUAAGCCCCGGCUAACUUCGUG
rnacentral:rRNA from 1 species